AACGCACAUUGCGCCCUUUGGCAUUCCGAAGGGCAUGCCUGUUCGAGCGUCAUUAUCAACCAUCAAGCCUGGGCUUGCAGUUGAGCCCUCCUUUGACCGGGAGGGCUCGAAAGUCAGUGGCGGGGUGACAGUCGGACCCUAGAUGCAACGAGCUGUUUUAUAACCAGCACGCAUUGAAGUGGCCGGCCACCUUGGCCCUCUCCUUUAACUAUAUCAAGGUUGACCUCGGAUCAGGUAGGGAUACCCGCUGAACUUAA
rnacentral:misc_RNA from 1 species